rnacentral:rRNA from 1 species
CAGUCGCCGCGGGAAUACGAGGGGGGUAAGCGUUGUUCGGAUUUAUUGGGCGUAAAGGGUGCGUAGGCGGUUUGGCAAGUCUUGUGUGAAAUCUUCGGGCUCAACCCGAAGCCUGCACGAGAAACUACCGGGCUUGAGUAUUGGAGAGGUGAGUGGAAUUUCCGGUGUAGCGGUGAAAUGCGUAGGUAUCGGAAGGAACACCUGUGGCGAAAGCGGCUCACUGGACAAUAACUGACGCUGAUGCACGAAAGCUAGGGGAGCAAACAGGAUUAGAUACCCCUGUAGUCCCUGUCUCUUAUAC